rnacentral:piRNA from 1 species
UCCCUUGCUAGAUGGAGCUCCUUGAAGAAG